GCAGUGGUGGUUCAGUGGUAGAAUUCUCACCUUCCAUGGGGGAGACCUGGGUUCGAUUCUUGGCCACGCA
rnacentral:tRNA from 1 species